rnacentral:rRNA from 1 species
UACGUAGGUGGCAAGCGUUAUCCGGAAUUAUUGGGCGUAAAGCGCGCGUAGGCGGUUUCUUAAGUCUGAUGUGAAAGCCCACGGCUCAACCGUGGAGGGUCAUUGGAAACUGGGAAACUUGAGUACAGAAGAGGAAGGUGGAAUUCCAUGUGUAGCGGUGAAAUGCGCAGAGAUAUGGAGGAACACCAGUGGCGAAGGCGACUUUCUGGUCUGUAACUGACGCUGAUGUGCGAAAGCGUGGGGAUCAAACAGG